ensembl:snoRNA Gm22797 small nucleolar RNA SNORA71
CCCUGUAUACCAAAAAGAUUGUGGGCUGCUGUGCCCGGGUCAUUGAUACUUCAGUGAGAGGAUUUGGAAAGCUUUUCCCUGUGUUAGGAGGAUCCCCAUUUGUACUUGCUAAACCCUGGUGCUUUCCCACA